UCAGCAAUUGCGACCGUGCUGAACAUAGUCUACAAAAAUGAGGGCAUUAAUCUUAGUUGCAAUUUUGUGCGUGAGCUUUUCAGAAAUUACUGAAGGCUACAAACGCAUUUGUUACUACACCAACUGGGCUCAGUACCGCAAUGAAUUUGCCAAAUAUACACC